CGCGGGGUAGAGCAGUUGGUAGCUCGUCGGGCUCAUAACCCGAAGGUCGUAGGUUCAAGUCCUGCCCCCGCAA
rnacentral:tRNA from 3 species